CGCUAACCGCUGCCCGGCGAGCGCCCGUGCCGCCCAGCAGCUGCGCCGCCACCGCUGCCUCCGCUCCCUCCCCCUCCCGGUCGUCCGGCCCGGCCCGCCCCCCGCGGAGAUGCUGCUGCUGCCGCUCGGAAAAGGCUUGGGGUGCGAGCUGCUGGCCGCGGCGCGGGACAGUGCCGACGCUCAGGCUGUGGCCGACGUUAUGGACGCUGCCGCCGCCGCCGCUACGGGAAGCACUGUUGUUGUGAAGCCCCGACGCCGCCGCUCACUCCGCCAUGUUGCCGCCCCCUGCCUGCGGUAGCGGCCACUGCGCCUGCGCAGAGGCUCCGGGGGCGGAGCCCUCGCUGCACCCCCCUCUGUCGCCCUGCCCUCCUUCUCCUUCCACCCACCCGCCCGGCACCCCUCGUCCCUCCCCCACCAGAACGGAGAGACAGUAUAUCCUUUUGCCAGGAGGAGGUUCGUCAUCUUCGUGGUUGCAUCCAGUGCCGCUACUGCCAGGGCCACGUGCCUCGUAAGGUAGCGGAGUGGCAGAGAGCCUCUUCCUGCCCCUCUUUACCCUUGCAGACAGUCCUGUCCGCCUGCCCUGCCUGGAAUUUCCCAAAGGAGAAGUGGCUGGCAAAGCAGAAAAACGCACCAGGAGGGACGAUUCUUCACGGCCUGAGAAGGAUUCAGAUGGAGGAUAACGGGUCUUUUUCCACAGCCAUGAAAGAGGCUGACACCUGCUCACACAGGCGCGACUUAAAAUAGAACUUGUCAAACAGUGAUCCUCUCUGGAAAGGGCUCGAAACAACAAACAGCACUAAAACUCAUCUCCCAGACUAAAAAAGCGGCUCUUUGUGACGUUGUGCGGUAACUAGCUGGGAGCAAUCCUUUAAAAAUCCCCAGCGAUCUUCAGGUAUGAUACCUAUUAAUGAUGCCUCCCUUUUUCAUAGGUGUGUGCGGUUUGCAGGGUUUUUGAAAUUAUUAAAAAUAAGAAUGAUUCUCAUAGCCAGCUUUCAUCCUUAGAAAAAGUAGAUUUUGAGGUCUACAGUGAUGCGCAAGGAAAAAAAAAACCUUUUAAAUUUUUAAAUUAAGAUGGUAUCAAUAAUCUUACUGCUGGUAUUGAAUUAAAACUAAGCAUGACUGCUAGUUUCUUUCCCAAAUCGAAGGAUAUAAUGUUCUUGUUCUUUUCGAUAAAUAUAUAUUGCAAGACACCAGAAAUACCAGGUAUCUCAAUGUAAGAUUAGAUCAUUUUCAUUGCCAUCUCAAAACAAAACAAAAAUUCAAAAUAUAAAUCCAUUAUAAUCUGAUUUCUUAUUAAUUGUGUUUAAAUGGACCUGUUAUUCAAGUUAAUUCCCAAGAUACAGGUACAGGCAAAAUUCUAAAAUAUUACAGGUUAUAACAAAAGUUCCUUAAAACAAGUGCUUAGGAUUCAUUCUUUGUUGUAUGUUCUUUUGUUUAAAUUUGUGCUGAAGUAGUUAAGAAAAUAAUUCUUUAAAAUUGGUAUGUCUAUUUAAAUUAAGUUGCAAUGGAAUUACAAAAUUCUGGUAUGAUUGAAACUAUGGGAAAUUUUGAAACAUAUCUUUGUAUGAUUUAAGAUACACUAUAAUUGAAAAACUAUGACAUUUAUAGCUGUCUACAGCAUUUUGUCUUUCCCAGGUGAAUAUUAAUCUCCUUCUGUGAUAGCUGUCACAUACUUCACUGCAAUUUAAAAAGGUAUAACUUCUUAAAUACAUAAAUCCAGACUGAAAGGUCACCAUACCAUAGAUUUUAUCCCAUCAUGAAUAUAUAAACAUAUAUAGAUAUAGAUAGCGGCAGGUUCUAUCUCUUGUAGAUUUCUUACAUGAUCUUUUUAUAAGAAAGCAA
ensembl:lincRNA